AGCGAACGCUGGCGGCAGGCCUAACACAUGCAAGUCGAACGAACUCUUCGGAGUUAGUGGCGGACGGGUGAGUAACACGUGGGAACGUGACUUUUGGUUCGGACUAACUCAGGGAAACUUGUGCUAAUACCGAAUGUGCCCUUAGGGGGAAAGAUUUAUCGCCCUUAGAGCGGCCCGCGUCUGAUUAGCUAGUUGGUGAGGUAACGGCUGACCAAGGCGACGAUCAGUAGCUGGUCUGAGAGGAUGACCAGCCACCCUGGGACUGAGACACGGCCCAGACUCCUACGGGAGGCAGCAGUGGGGAAUCUUGCGCAAUGGGCGAAAGCCUGACGCAGCCAUGCCGCGUGAAUGAUGAAGGUCUUAGGAUUGUAAAAUUCUUUCACCGGGGACGAUAAUGACGGUACCCGGAGAAGAAGCCCCGGCUAACUUCGUG
rnacentral:rRNA from 1 species